CCCUGUGAAACCCCUUACAGCUCUCCACACUGCACAUGUGGAGAGCCUCAAUAUCUAUUUCAUUAAGCUGACAGUGUUCCUGAUUCUACUCCACUGUCUUGUCCUUGCAUGCCACAACAAUUGUCCUCUGGAUUGUACACGGGCAAUGAAAGUGGCUAAAAAGUCCUUCAAAAACAAGCCAACCAACAAAACUCCCUUCUUAAUAACAGAAAGCCAUAGAGGAAAAGGCCUAAAAGACACAGAGGACAAAAAGAAGGCAGGAGAAAGACACAACCAUCCUUCUAACCAGCUAGAUCCCAUGCUGAAAGAAAUUAAUGCUGAAAGAAACUUCACAGAAGCUUAUAUUCUCAGACCAACUCCUUAAAGACUUGUGCCACCUAUCCCCACCUGCUUGGCACCUUGUUGAAUACUCCAAAACAAACAUAUCAGAACUAAGGUUGCCUACUUCUUAAAUGGAAGGUGGUUCUAAAACUUUUCAUAGCAUGGAACUAAAAAUCAUCAGCUAAUUAAAGGCACAGGAGUGGAAGUAUUCAAAAACAGUUGUAAGCUGUCCUGUGCCUAUUUAUCACAAGAGGAAGUGCACACUCAUAUCCUUAUUGAGUUUGGACAGUCGCAGUUUGGACAUAUCAUCCAGCCCCUUAUCCCCAGGGCAAGGAGUGAGAUGCUCAAAUGAAGAUGUGAAGGAUGUCUAGGGACCUCUGGGGCCUUUAACAAGUGAGCAAAUAAGAAUACUGAACGAGUACAAAUGGAACCAGACAAAUUUGAGGAAGGUCUCGGAUGAUGCGAGAAACCCCUUAAUGUAUAUCAAAAUGCUUGCCUCCGCCUGCCCCCGAUAGGCUAAGAACGGUAAAAUUGCCUUUCUGGAUCAGACCUUCCUGUCUUCCUUUCCUAACAGCAGCCAGCCAGAUGCCUCUUUCCUUUGUUUCCUUCAGAAAGCAAAGCGUCUAAGCAAAGCUUCCUCCUCCCCAAAUGAACAUCAUCUCUUCUUUACAUUGAGCAGCCUCAAUUCUCCUCCACCUUCUAGUUUUACAGCAGCACAACUGAGAAGCAGGCCUGUGUGAUGCGUCUGGCUUUUGUUCAUGAUAACAGACACACCUUACAGCUCCCUUAAAUUGGCAUAUCAUUUUCUUUUGCUCUUUCUCUUUUUCUUUGUAGCUGUAUUUGCAUAUGUAUGUCAGGGCCCAUUCAUACAUCUCAUCUCCAUAA